UAUAAAGCAUUUACCUUGCUAUAAUCUGUUUGCUAAGAUAUCUAAUCUCUAUGAUAACAAAAUUGAAAUGUAAAUUAAGUAGAUAGUGUCCAAUGAUAAUACUUUUAUUAAUCAAGAUUAUUACCUGCUAUGCUUGUUUAUUGUGUAUUAAGUUUUAUGUAUAUUUUGUAUAUUUAUUAGUAAUAAGCUGUCCUGGAUAAGUUCUGUUGGAAGAGGGAAAAGAUAACUGAGGAAGGCAAAAUUGCAUAAGGUGGGAUGGAAAGAAAAAGGGUCAACAAAAUUGUCACUCACCAAACUUAAACUGUGAAAAGGAUUGAAGUGAAAAUGGAGACAAUACAUGUACUGCUCCCCAUUUAUCUGUUUGCUUUGUAACACAAAAAACCGUAAUAAAAACUAAUUAAAACAAAAAGCAGAAUUG